rnacentral:rRNA from 1 species
AGCAGCCGCGGUAAUUCCAGCUCCAAUAGCGUAUAUUAAAGUUGUUGCAGUUAAAAAGCUCGUAGUUGAAUUUCGGGAUCAAUAUGUUGGUCGUGCCUCGGUACGUACUGGCGUCAUUGGUUUCUACCUUCUGAAGAACCUCGAUGUCAUUAAUUUGGUGUCUUGGGGAAUCAGGACUGUUACUUUGAAAAAAUUAGAGUGUUUAAAGCAGGCUCACGCUUGAAUACAUUAGCAUGGAAUAAUGAAAUAGGACGUUUGAUUCUAUUUUGUUGGUUUCUAGGAUCGACGUAAUGAUUAAUAGGGAUAGUUGGGGGCAUUAGUAUUCAAUUGUCAGAGGUGAAAUUCUUGGAUUUAUUGAAGACUAACUACUGCGAAAGCAUUUGCCAAGGAUGUUUUCAUUAAUCAAGAACGAAAGUUAGAGGUUCGAAGGCGAUCAGAUACCGCCCUAGUUCUAACCAUAAACGAUGCCAACCAGCAAUCGGCCACGAGUUGCUAACAAUGACUC